GUUAAAGUACUUGUAACCCAGUAGAGAAUUGGGUCCAAUUAUAUCUUUAUUUUUCUAUAGUUUCCUUAUUUAUCUCAUUUUCAUUUGUUAAUCAAUCUGUCAAUGACUUAUUUUACACACACAGUCCUUAUUUGUCAUAUCAACUAGAGCAAACUUAUGAUUGGUUAGAGGGAGUUAAGUCCCACCCUCUCUUUACGCAGAAGUCAGUGAGUUGCAGUGCGGGUAAAACAGCAGCGGUCGGAGUGGAUGAGAAAUACAGAGUUAGAAGAGCGAUUAUUAACAUAUCCAUGAGAUAAAAUAGUCUUGUGAAGACGUCAGAGGUGUGCGAGGGUCCGUGAGCCAGGAGUAGUAGUACUUUUGGCAUUAUCGUCUUGGCUGGGUUUUUUUGAGAACAAGAGAACUGGAUCUGGAUUCUCCCUGUGGAUGGGAGAUGGCGAGCCCCCAGUGAGAUCUCUUCUUAACCUAAGGAGUGAGGAACCGAGACCUGAGAAGAGGACCUGGUAUCUUUUUUUGCUUCCACUCAAGUAUCAGUGUGGUAGGACCACCACACAUCCGACUACUUGAAUUUUUCCCCCUGAUUUGACAUAAAACAUUGACUUGAGCGCGCUGACUGAUAUGGCAAAGACAUUAAAGGGACAUUACACUCUAAGUUCUGCUGAAAGACUGUGAAAUCUUGAGAUAUUGAUGAUAAUUGCACUGCAUUUUAUGUUCAUGUUUUAUAACUUGGUACAGUAAACUUACCUCAAACGUU